ACCGCGUGCGCAUCCUACGUGUUUCUAACACUAAGUAAUGAUAAAUUAUUGUUAAUAUUUUUUAAAUUCUUUGUGCGUUUUUUCCUUCUUUUAUUUCAAAUAGAAGUAUAGUUAGGAUAAAUUUUAGAGCAAAUUUAGAUGCUCAGACGGCAGGAACUAAUGGCAUUUUUGGGCUUCAAAUUUCAAAAAUUUUCUGCGGAAGUAUGCCCCCAGACCCCCUAUUCAUUCACGGUAUGUCGGCCACACACAUGACCCACGGCCAUUACUAUCCCCCUUUAAUAAUAAGUAAUGGAUACAUUAUUGUUAAUAUUUCUUUUAUUUUUUCUGCAUUUUUUCCUUCUUUUAUUUCAAAUACAAGUAUAAUUAGCAUAAAUUUUAGAGCAAAUUUAGAUGCUCAUAAAGCAGGAAAUGGCAUUUGAAAGGUUCAAAUUUAAAACAUUUUCCGGGGGAGUAUGUCGGCCACAGUGUGUGGCCGUCGGCCUUUGCUAUCCCCCUCUAAUAUAUUAUCUCACAGAAAGGUCCCUUUUCAAAAAAAUGCCCCCCCCCCACGGGAAAAUCCUUAAAAAAGGCCCUGUUGUCCUGUAUUUCGGUCUCGGAACUGUCGUAUGUCGUCACGGUAUACGUUAACUGUGUAGUUCGUAUAUUUGCCUAGCCACAUGUUGUGAUUGAGGCUAUGUGAGGAUUGUAAGUUUAUCACCUAGUACUAUUUAAGUAUAGAUGCAAUUAGGUUAUGUGCAUGCUCACAGGGUUUUGAAAGCAAACCAUGCCGUGAAAUAUGUGAAGCCUAUGGUUUGUGUCAUGUAUCUAUCUAGGUAGAAUACCUAAAAGUAGAUGUUGUACAAACUACAAAGUUGUGGUUUAUAGAAUCGGGCAGACCUCCCCCGCCCCC
rnacentral:lncRNA from 1 species